CGGGUGAGUAACACGUAUCCAACCUGCCGUCUACUCUUGGACAGCCUUCUGAAAGGAAGAUUAAUACAAGAUGGCAUCAUGAGUUCACAUGUUCACAUGAUUAAAGGUAUUCUAGUAGACGAUGGGGAUGCGUUCCAUUAGAUAGUAGGCGGGGUAACGGCCCACCUAGUCUUCGAUGGAUAGGGGUUCUGAGAGGAAGGUCCCCCACAUUGGAACUGAGACACGGUCCAA
rnacentral:rRNA from 1 species